UAGGGAAUCUUCGGCAAUGGGGGCAACCCUGACCGAGCAACGCCGCGUGAGUGAAGAAGGUUUUCGGAUCGUAAAGCUCUGUUGUAAGAGAAGAACGUGUGUGAGAGUGGAAAGUUCACACAGUGACGGUAACUUACCAGAAAGGGACGGCUAACUACGUGCCAGCAGCCGCGGUAAUACGUAGGUCCCGAGCGUUGUCCGGAUUUAUUGGGCGUAAAGCGAGCGCCGGCGGUUUAAUAAGUCUGAAGUUAAAGGCAGUGGCUUAACAAUUGUUCGCUUUGGAAUCUGUUAAACUUGAGUGCAGAAGGGGAGAGUGGAAUUCCAUGUGUAGCGGUGAAAUGCGUAGAUAUAUGGAGGAACACCGGUGGCGAAAGCGGCUCUCUGGUCUGUAACUGACGCUGAGGCUCGAAAGCGUGGGGAGCAAACAGG
rnacentral:rRNA from 1 species